rnacentral:misc_RNA from 1 species
GAUGAACACAAAUGAGGAUUGGCAAAAGCGAUCAAAAUUUAAACAUCCAUCUAACAAAUUCAAAAUUAAAAAAUACGUUUUUCGGUAGAAUCUUUCGGCUGAAUUUGAGAAACAAAAUUUAAUAAAUUUAGUAAAAAUUUUGUAACGCGGCGAGAUGGGCAAGGGAGACAAAAAAGAGGAGAAAACAGCCGGUGAUAAAAAAUCAUCUGGAAAAGGGAGCAAAGGACCUGCUCGAAAGGGUGGUGUUUUCAUGGGCGGUACAAUAGGAAUAACUACCAGGCCGGAUAGAAACAAUUAUUACAAUGUUGUUGUGUCACGCAACGGCAGCUCAGGCCAUUCUCAGUCUUGCAAAUCAUCAGCCCCUUCUGCAGGGAUUUCACCGAUAAUUAUUUGCCCACCGAAUAAUUAUCCACCACCGAGUUGUCCAACGCAGCCGAGACGAAGAUGCUGUUAAUUUAAUGUAACAAACUCUCCCACCUCCAUCUUGCCUCCUUGAAAAUUUGAUGACAUCAUUUUAAAUAAACAAGAUAUAAUGAUCACGACGAAUACCGAUUUUUGAUAAGGUGUAUAUAUUUAUUGUUUUAAUCUGAAACAAAGAAAAGUCAGUCGAUUACAUGCGGCUAAAAAAUUGUGAUGCGAAAAUGGGUUAAGAAAUCUUGGAAAUAAAUUCAAUCAUUCCAUAUCAUUCUGCCAUAUCAUUUGAUAAAUAUAAAUUUGAAUAAAAAAGAAGUAUGGGGAGAAGUAGGCGCUGCAGAAAAGUAAAACGGUCUUGUUCAAAGCAUCGCGGAUUUUUCUCCAGUAUUUUAGGAUUUUUUUACAGAUCGAGAAGAUGUUCGAG